UACGUAGGGAGCGAGCGUUGUCCGGAUUCAUUGGGCGUAAAGCGCUUUAAGGCGGUUCGCUAAGUCGCGUGUGAAAACUCCAGGCUCAACCUGGAGACGCCACGUGAUACUGGCGUGACUAGAGUUCGGUAGGGGAUCACGGAAUUCCUGGUGUAGCGGUGAAAUGCGCAGAUAUCAGGAAGAACACCCGUGGCGAAGGCGGCUCUCUGGGACGGUACUGACGCUGAGACGCGAAAGCGUGGGGAGCAAACAGG
rnacentral:rRNA from 1 species